CAGGAGGGGGAUAACGGCCGGAAACGGCCGCUAAUACCCCAUAUGCCGAGAGGUGAAACGAAUUUCGCCUGAGGAUGAGCCCGCGUCUGAUUAGCUAGUUGGUGGGGUAAUGGCCCACCAAGGCGACGAUCAGUAGCUGGUCUGAGAUGAUGAUCAGCCACACUGGGACUGAGACACGGCCCAGACUCCUACGGGAGGCAGCAGUGGGGAAUUUUCCGCAAUGGGCGAAAGCCUGACGGAGCAACGCCGCGUGAGGGAUGAAGGCCUCUGGGCUGUAAACCUCUUUUCUCAAGGAAGAAGACAUGACGGUACUUGAGGAAUAAGCCACGGCUAAUUCCGUGCCAGCAGCCGCGGUAAUACGGGAGUGGCAAGCGUUAUCCGGAAUUAUUGGGCGUAAAGCGUCCGCAGGCGGCCUUGUAAGUCUGUCGUUAAAGCGUGGAGCUUAACUCCAUUUCAGCGAUGGAAACUACAAGGCUUGAGUGUGGUAGGGGCAGAGGGAAUCCCCGGUGUAGCGGUGAAAUGCGUAGAUAUCGGGAAGAACACCAGUGGCGAAGGCGCUCUGCUGGGCCAUAACUGACGCUCAUGGACGAAAGCCAGGGGAGCGAAAGGGAUUAGAUACCCCUGUAGUCCUGGCCGUAAACGAUGAACACUGGGUGUCGGGGGAAUCGACCCCCUCGGUGUCGUAGCUAACGCGUUAAGUGUUCCGCCUGGGGAGUACGCACGCAAGUGUGAAACUCAAAGGAAUUGACGGGGGCCCGCACAAGCGGUGGAGUAUGUGGUUUAAUUCGAUGCAACGCGAAGAACCUUACCAGGGUUUGACAUCCUGCGAAUCCCUUGGAAACGAGGGAGUGCCUUCGGGAGCGCAGAGACAGGUGGUGCAUGGCUGUCGUCAGCUCGUGUCGUGAGAUGUUGGGUUAAGUCCCGCAACGAGCGCAACCCACGUCUUUAGUUGCCAGCAUUCAGUUGGGCACUCUAGAGAGACCGCCGGUGAUAAACCGGAGGAAGGUGUGGAUGACGUCAAGUCAUCAUGCCCCUUACAUCCUGGGCUACACACGUACUACAAUGCUACGGACAAAGGGUUGCAAGCUCGCGAGAGUUAGCUAAUCCCAUAAACCGUGGCUCAGUUCAGAUCGUAGGCUGCAACUCGCCUACGUGAAGGAGGAAUCGCUAGUAAUCGCAGGUCAGCAUACUGCGGUGAAUACGUUCCCGGGCCUUGUACACACA
rnacentral:rRNA from 1 species